CCUCACAACUUCAUGGCUGACAUAACAUUUGUAUUUUCUUUUUCUAUUUCAUUUUGUACUGAUUAAAAAUAAAAUACAAAUGUAAUGUCAGCCAUGUAGUUGUGAGG
rnacentral:sRNA from 1 species